AACCGCGGUUAUACGAGAGACCCUAGUUGACAGACACGGCGUAAAGAGUGGUUAGGGGUAAAACCUAAUAAAGCUGAACAUUCUCUCCGGCUGUAAUAAGCAACCCAGAACGUGAAACUCCACUACGAAAGUGGCUUUAACCAUCCCGACCCCACGAAAGCUAAGAAA
rnacentral:rRNA from 1 species